AGUGAACGCUGGCGGUAGGCCUAACACAUGCAAGUCGAACGGCAGCACAGUAAGAGCUUGCUCUUACGGGUGGCGAGUGGCGGACGGGUGAGGAAUACAUCGGAAUCUACUUUUUCGUGGGGGAUAACGUAGGGAAACUUACGCUAAUACCGCAUACGACCUACGGGUGAAAGCAGGGGAUCUUCGGACCUUGCGCGAUUGAAUGAGCCGAUGUCGGAUUAGAUAGUUGGCGGGGUAAAGGCCCACCAAGGCGACGAUCCGUAGCUGGUCUGAGAGGAUGAUCAGCCACACGGAAACUGAGACACGGUACAGACUCACACGGGGGGCAGCAGGGGGGAAUAUUGGACAGUGGGCGAAAGCCUGCUCCAGCCAUACCGCGUGGGUGAAGAAGGCCUUCGGGUUGUAAAGCCCUUUUGUUGGGAAAGAAAAGCAGCAGGUUAAUACCCCGCUGUUCUGACGGUACCCAAAGAAUAAGCACCGGCUAACUUCGU
rnacentral:rRNA from 1 species